AAAAAAGAAAACAAAACAUGCUUCUCCAAAAUAAAAAUAAGUGCAGCCGUGUGCACCUUGGAUAAAAGAAAAAAAAAUUGAAUGCUUCUAAAAUUUCAAUAGGACCGUGUGUGCUGUUAUUCUAUUCUUAUCAUCGCUUCAUCAUCCUAAAAAAAAAGAAAGCAAAGAUAACAUGUGGUGGCUGGCCAUAAAUUGAAUGCAACGCUUUUCUUUUAUGCUGGACUAAAACCUUUGUUCCUAACCGUGAACUUUCAAAGUAAAUUAAAAGAAAAUGUUGCAGCAUUGCACAUAAAGGAAGGGAAAAGAAAAACUUGAUUCAUUCAUUCAGCCAACAUCAAAAAUCGUGAGCUCCAUGUGUCCAAGCCAAAAAUCUGAAAAGAAAUCAAAAGUGAUGGCACCCUUUCAAAUCUGCCGAGAAUGAGCGGCUUGCAAUGUGUGGUUGCUUAUUUUUUAUCAAUUGCUGAGAGCCCCCUCUGCAAAAUGUGACGGCUGGUGCUAUUUUGCAAGGCCAUGUGCCACCUUUUAAUGUGUGUGGGGUCCACCUCUUUGUAAAACCCUAGGUGCCAUGUCAUGUUUCCUAAAUGGGCUCAAACUAUUUUGCCAAAAAUUGGUCCAAUGUUUACAAAUUUAAUUAAAGACUAUCUAGACUACUAAGUUUCAAAAUAAUUAAAUUUGAAAUGUCUAUGACAAGAGUCUUGAAUUAUUUGGUGUCCUC
rnacentral:lncRNA from 1 species